rnacentral:lncRNA from 1 species
CUCGUUUUUCCCUUCAGAGGUAGGUGUGACUAUGUUUGCUUCAUGGACUUGGAACCUGAGAAACAGAAAGGUACAGUAGCUCUCCCAGAGUCACACAGCUGGGUGGGGUGGAGCUGGAACUGAAACCCAGGUCUGACUUCAAGGCCUGUCCUCCUCCAAGAUGUCACGGGACGCCCGCGAGGGAUGCUUCUGUCUGUGUCUUUCUCCCUGUCCCAACAAGGAUGACGACUGUAUCAACAGCGUUCGCCACGUUCAGAAUGCAGACGGCCAGCUGGCCUCCAACUUCAGAGCCCCCGCAUGCAGCCUGGUGGAAAAGACCCCCACUGCACACCUGUCCACUGGUGAGAUCACUCUACAUCGCUUCCAGUUUGGGGGCAGAGGGACUCUCUCCUUCAAGCGUGUGCCAUCGACACAGGUGCCCAAGGGAACAUCUCCGGGGCAGUUCAUGGAGGUCUCCCAACUCCCACACAAGGCAGCCCCAGGGUCCUGCAUCAGCUCCAAGACUCCAUGAGGGCUGCACUGUGCUUGCCUGUUCCCUGCCGGAUCCUCAGCCUGAAGCCUGGCACUCGAUCGGCUCUGACAAACGGCGCACUGUGGUUGGCUGAAUGAGGCCCCCAAAGAUGUCCGCAUCUUAAUCUCAGGAAAUUCAGACACUGUGAAUGUUACUUUAUACGGAAAGAGAGACUUUGUAGACGUGAUUAAGUUAAGAACCUUGAGAUGGGGAGGUUAUCCUGGAUCAUCCGGUUCUGCUCAACGUAAUCUCGUGUCCUUAAAAGAGGGAGGCAGGGGGAGCUUUGAUACAAAAGAGGAGGCUGCGUGAUCUCAGAGGCAGAGAUUUGAAUGAUGCGGCUGCAAGCUAAGGGAUGCAGGCGGCCACCAGGCCUGGGAGAGGCAGGGGACAGAGUCUCGCCUGGAGUCUUCAGAAGGAAUCAGCCCUGCUAACACCUUGAUUUUGGAUCCUGCCCCGUGGGACUCAGUCCACAUGUCUGGCCUCCAGAACUGGAAGAGAAUGAGUUUCUGCUGUUCUAAGCCACCAAUUUUGUGGUAAUUUGUUACAGCAGCCAUAAGACACUGGUCUUGACUCAACUCAUCUUGACAAGACACCCAACUCAUCUUGACCUCUGGCAAGGCUGGUAGAUUACAACACUGUGGCGAAGAAAACCGCUCAAGACUGUGGCCCACAGCCUCUCUGAGACGCAAAACCACUCCUGUUCGGUCCACCCCUCACUGCCCUAUCAGCUUCCUCAAGGGCUCCCUGUUACCUUGGCAGCCCCAGGGGUGUCAGCCAGCACACGGGUCCUCGUGACCUGCCCCUGCUGGCCCCUUCUCUGCUGGUCAUUGUCUCCCCCGUUCCCACACUCCAGGUGUCAGUCAAGCCAAACCACCGACAUUUUCAUUUUCCUCAAGUCUCAUGCCCGGCAGUCUGACUCCUCAGAGCUUUUGUUCCAAAUCAGUCACUGUUGCCUGGAAAGCCCCAUCCUCUUCACUUGGUCACUUUCCACGUGUCCUUCAAGCUGGCCCAGGAGUCUCCUCCUCCAGGAAGCCUCCCCUGCUAGCCCCGGGGCCGGGUUCUGUUUAUACUCCCACAGGGCCUGGCGUUGCCCG